CAGCGAUGCCAGCAGCCCCUGGUAUUUUCGGCCCCCCAUCAGCUCCUCGCAGGCUGUGGCACAGGAGGGGCCGAAGGACAGCAGGGCGGCAGCGUUCUGACAGCACUCACCCGGAGUUUGGAAGCGUACUUGUGACUUUCAGAGCCUGACAUCUCCUUGGAGCACUGCUUCAGAGUCAUUCCUGUCACUCAGAGGGAACCCACCGCUGCACCCACUCACACACCCAGCUCCCUCCAGACCGAAUGUGCAGAGUCAUUGCAGGGCACUCGGCUCCCUGGCAAGUGGGACAGUUCCCUGCUGCUCAAUGAACUGACUGUGACCAUAAAUUCUGCCUUUGCACGCUGGGUUGCUAUUUAAAGUCACAGUAUCACUCAUCAGGGAAAUUACUUUCCAAAAUGUGCCCCUCUCUAUAGAGGAGAAAAAGCUGGGGAUGGUGCUGAAGCAUCUGUGUUGCAGACACUGAGCUGCCUUUUCAUGGCAUUGAAGAUCACACCUACCAAGCCUCAAAACAAAUUAGUUUUCAUUGGGUCUGCUACUGUAGAAAUGCAUUGGAAGGAGUAACGUGUCCCAAAAUUUUGUCAUCUAAAUGGAAGUCCAGCCACAGUUCCCAUUGAAAGAAAAAUUAAAAAUAGACUUUAUUGUUACAAGGCUCUUAAAUGAGCUUAAUUUCUGAUCUUAACUGUAGAUAUCAGCAGGAGGAAGUACUGGCUAGCUACAGAUAAAAUACUUAAAGCAGAAAAAGCCAGUAUUCCCAUUUAGAAAAUUCUGUAACACAGUGGAUAUUGGGCACUUGCCAUUUUCAAUACACUUUUCUAUUUUUUAAUGCUGCCAAUCCAUUCUGUGUGGAUCUUGGGGCUCACCCCUUUCCCCGAAGCAGCAGGGCUGGUGCAGUAUUGCUAUGGGGAAGUUUUGUCCUCACAGCACCUCUGUAAGCAUGAGCAGUGGGGCUGCUCCAGCCUAUAGCACGGUGCCAUAUUUUUAGAUCCUCAGCUCACAUUUCAGUGAACAUGAAGUAUCUUUGUGUGUCAACAGACCCAAAAUGUCUCCCAGUGGAGCGUGAAGCAUGUCGACGUAGCAGGGACGUAAUCUGGGCAGUUCGUGGAAGCUUACAUCAUUAAGUCUAUCACUGGAAUGUGUUUGAUAUACAGCAAAUUCAGAUGUUUUUCUUUCCUGGGAACUCUGCCAGCAAGCCAUAGCAUGCGAGGGAGCCAGGAUGGCAAGGAGGGAAGGGCCGGUGCCUGGGCAAGACAUGAAUUAGGGAACUUUCAGUUCAGCUUGUUGAAGGUCUUCAUAGAGAAAUAGGGGCUGAACUUGUGCCUAGCCACUGUCCUUCAUCUGUCAGUGGGGAGCCCAUGGGGCCAAGCCCUGGCUUUGUGGGAAGCCCAAGCACAGGAGCUAUGGAAGAAGACAGAAUGGCAGAGCCCACACACAGACUGUCACGUUUUUGUAUGCUCAGGGAUUGGGAAGCUCCUGGAGGUGCCCU
ensembl:lncRNA